rnacentral:rRNA from 1 species
CUACGGGCGGCAGCAGGCGCGAAACCUUUACAAUGCGCGAAAGCGUGAUAGGGGAAGUCCGAGUGCAAGCUUUGCUUGCUUUUGCCAAGCCUAAAUAGCUUGGCGAAUAAGUGCUGGGUAAGAUACGUGCCAGCCGCCGCGGUAAUACGUACAGCACAAGUGGUAUCCACUAAUAUUGGGCCUAAAACAUGCGUAGCAGGUUUUGAAAGUCUCUUGUGAAAUCCAACAGCUUAACUGUUGGAAUUGCUGGAGAUACUUCAAGACUCGAGGCCAAGAGACGCUUAGAGAAUUCUAGGGGUAGCGGUGGAAUGCUAUAAUCCGUAGAGGACUUCCAGUAGCGAAGGCGCUGAGCGAGAAUGGGCCUGACUGUGAGGCAUGAAAGCUGGGGGAGCGACCCGGAUUAGAUACCCCGGUAGUC